UACAGAGGUCCCAAGCGUUGUUCGGAUUCACUGGGCGUAAAGGGUGCGUAGGUGGCAGGGUAAAUUUGAUGUGAAAUCUCCGAGCUUAACUCGGAAACUGCAUUGAAUACUAUUCUGCUCGAGGUUUGGAAGGGGGACUGGAAUUCUCGGUGUAGCAGUGAAAUGCGUAGAUAUCGAGAGGAACACCAGUGGCGAAGGCGAGUCCCUGGACAACACCUGACACUGAGGCACGAAAGCUAGGGGAGCAAACAGG
rnacentral:rRNA from 1 species